GAGGGCAUAGCUCAGUGGUGGAGUUUAUGCCUAGCAUGCAUGAGGUCCUGGGUUCAAUUCCUAGUACCUCCA
rfam:Camelus ferus unplaced genomic scaffold scaffold1533, whole genome shotgun sequence.